AGUGUCGCGCCGGUGGACGGUUAACUUUGAUGAAGUUACAUACGAGAAUAUCUUCUCCGACACUC
rnacentral:tRNA from 1 species